CCUACGGGAGGCAGCAGUGAGGAAUAUUGGUCAAUGGGCGGGAGCCUGAACCAGCCAAGUCGCGUGAGGGAAGACGGUCCUAUGGAUUGUAAACCUCUUUAGGCGGGGAGCAAUGCCGGGCACGCGUGCCCGGAGGGAUAGUACCCGCAGAAUAAGCAUCGGCUAACUCCGUGCCAGCAGCCGCGGUAAUACGGAGGAUGCGAGCGUUAUCCGGAUUUAUUGGGUUUAAAGGGUGCGUAGGCGGAUUUUUAAGUCAGCGGUAAAAUGUCCGGGCUCAAGCCGGGCCGGCCGUUGAAACUGGGGAUCUUGAGUGGGCGAGAAGUAUGCGGAAUUCGUGGUGUAGCGGUGAAAUGCAUAGAUAUCACGCAGAACUCCGAUUGCGAAGGCAGCAUACCGGCGCCCGACUGACGCUGAGGCACGAAAGCGUGGGGAGCGAACAGGAUUAGAUACCCCGGUAGUC
rnacentral:rRNA from 1 species